rnacentral:rRNA from 1 species
GGAAGAAGUGCUUCGGUAUGUAAACUGCUUUUGUAGACUACUAAUUUUUGAAGAGUCUAAGAAUAAGAGGUUGCUAAACUCGUGCCAGCAGCAGCGGUAAUACGAGUGCCUCAAGCGUUAUCCGGAAUUAUUGGGCGUAAAGGGUGUGUAGGUGGUUUUAUUAGUCUCUCGUCAAAUCUCUCGGCUUAACCGAGAGCCUGCGAGGGAAACGGUAAGACUUAGAGUGUGCGAGGGGUCUGCGGAACUCAUGGUGUAGCAGUGAAAUGCGUUGAUAUCAUGGGGAACACCAAAAGCGAAGGCAGCAGACUGGAGCAUUACUGACACUGAAACACGAAAGCGUGGGUAGCGAAUGGGAUUAGAUACCCCUGUAGUCC